rnacentral:rRNA from 1 species
CCUACGGGAGGCAGCAGUGGGGGAUAUUGCACAAUGGGGGGAACCCUGAUGCAGCGACGCCGCGUGGGUGAAGAAGCGCCUCGGCGCGUAAAGCCCUGUCAGCAGGGAAGAAAAUGACGGUAUCUGAAGAAGAAGCCCCGGCUAACUACGUGCCAGCAGCCGCGGGAAUACGUAGGGGGCAAGCGUUAUCCGGAUUUACUGGGUGUAAAGGGGGCGCAGACGGCGAUGCAAGCCAGGAGUGAAAGCCCGGGGCCCAACCCCGGGACUGCACUUGGAACUGCGUGGCUGGAGUGCAGGAGGGGCAGGCGGAAUUCCUGGUGUAGCGGUGAAAUGCGUAGAUAUCAGGAGGAACACCAGUGGCGAAGGCGGCCUGCUGGACUGCAACUGACGGUGAGGCCCGAAAGCGUGGGGAGCAAACAGGAUUAGAUACCCCAGUAGUC